rnacentral:rRNA from 1 species
GACAGAGGGUGCGAACGUUGUUCGGAAUUACUGGGCGUAAAGCGCGUGUAGGCGGCGCGGCAAGUCGGAUGUGAAAGCCCUGGGCUCAACCCAGGAAGUGCAUUCGAUACUGCCGUGCUAGAGUCCCGGAGAGGAUGGUGGAACUCUCGGUGUAGAGGUGAAAUUCGUAGAUAUCGAGAAGAACACUGGUGGCGAAGGCGGCCAUCUGGACGGUGACUGACGCUGAGACGCGAAAGCGUGGGGAGCAAACAGG